rnacentral:rRNA from 1 species
UACGAAGGGGGCUAGCGUUGCUCGGAAUCACUGGGCGUCAAGCGCACGUAGGCGGCUUGCUAAGUCAGGGGUGAAAUCCUGGAGCUCAACUCCAGAACUGCCUUUGAUACUGGCGACCUUGAGUCCGGGAGAGGUGAGUGGAACUGCGAGUGUAGAGGUGAAAUUCGUAGAUAUUCGCAAGAACACCAGUGGCGAAGGCGGCUCACUGGCCCGGUACUGACGCUGAGGUGCGAAAGCGUGGGGAGCAAACAGG